rnacentral:rRNA from 1 species
UCGCUGUGUGUUACAAGUGUCACACGGAACUGCCGGUCAUAAACCGGAGGAAGGUGGGGAUGACGUCAAGUCAGCAUGGCCUUUAUAUCCUGGGCUACACACACGCUACAAUGGGAAGGGACAAUAGGUUGCGAAGCCGCGAGGUGGAGCCAAUCCAGCAAAACUUCCCUCAGUUCAGAUUGCAGGCUGCAACUCGCCUGCAUGAAGUUGGAGUUGCUAGUAAACGCAGGUCAGCCAUACUGCGUUGAAUACGUUCCCGGGGCUU